CAACGCACCGCACCGCAGCCCCGCACCUCGCAGCCCUCACCGCGCCGCGCAGAAGUACCUGGGCUUCUGACCACUUCUCGUAUUUUCUCUUCACACUGUGACAUCCACGUAGACCCAGACAGAAUCUGGUUUUAAUCAACCUCUGCAACUCCUAUAAACACUCAAACCCUACAGCUUGUGAUUCUGCACUUCAACAAUAUUCAAUGGGAACAGAGAAAACAAAAAGCUGAAAGAUAAGUAUUUACCUAUGUUAGUAAACCUUUAGUCACAAAGUGGCAAACCUUGUCCUGGCUCCCUUUGUUAAAUACUGAACAUCAUGAAAACAGGUCUUUUGAGGAGAAAGGAGGAAUUCCUUGUACAAAGAAGACAAUGAAGGUACCUGAUGGCUUUUAUCAUUCACAAAAUAUCACUAAGAGUUCAAUGGCACACAGGACUACAAGGUCCCCUACUCCCCCAGUUCAGGGCAACACAGCAGCUAUUUAAUAUCAGCUAUAUUUAUAAGCUAUUUAAUAUAAUGAUGAAGAACAGCAUGGCUACCUACUCUUAAGGAAGGUAGGACAGGGCAAAGCUGAACCUGUUGGCAGCCUUCAAUCUGUGCCACUAUAUGCAUAAAGUGCUAUUAAAUCCAAGUAACUGCAGUAACUGGUCAAUCUUGACAUCGGCCCAGUAAAAGUUAAGUGAAAAUUCCACAAGGCACAUCUCCAUGUACACAAAGCCAUCAACACAAAAGUGGAGCCUUCCCAAGAUUCUUGGAAAAUCUUAUCAGCUCAGAAACACUCUAAGAUACAUAUUUUAGACACAAUCAUUAAUAUGAGCCUCCUUCUGUCCUGUCCUGCUAAAGAAUACGUGAUCUCUGUGGCACGGAAUCACCACACCAGUGGAGGUACUGGGCAGGUAACCAUCCAGCAGGGAGGGCUUACACUUAUCUGCUCUACUGGUAGCAGGUUCCUCUGCUGAGGAUCAUGAGUAAAGCCAUUUCAGCCUAUUCCUUCUGCUCUGAUAGCAAAAAUUCAUCAAGGAUGUGUUACAUUAAAUCUUAAACGGCCUUUCAAAACAUCAUACAGGACAAAAAUAAAAGGCUAAUACCUGCAAGGAAGCAAACUGUGCAGUACACACUUAAAGGUUUCUUCAUCAUGCUUAAGAAGUAGAAUAUAUUAUCAUGACAAUUAUUUGUUACAGAUAGCACCUUUGAACACCAAAUAAAUUGUACAAACCACUGCACCAGCAGAGCUGAAAAGACUGCUCCUCCUUCAAAGUGGUGUGGCUUUAAUUUAACAAGUAAUUAAUGAAUACAUAAACCCUGGACAGAACUUUAAUCUAUCCCAGUGCCAAAUAAUUAAUCAUUCAUUCCACGUUUAAUCCUGCUCUGAUAAAUGUAAUUAAUAUUUCACCAUGACACUGCAGAAUAGAACGGUACCUGGGAGCAGAGAAGCCUUCCAUUUCUCCUUUGUUGUAACUCUGAAGUGAUAGCUGCUGUCUACAACUGACAGGUAAUCCAGAAUGCAGUGUUCCCCCGCAGUUGUAAAUUAGGGUUUAUGCAUGGCAUAUAUUGUGAUUGUAAUGAGCCUUUUCUUCUUCUGACCUAUAAUUAAAAAAACACAAAGCAACAUCAACAAAACAAAGCACAACAACUAUGAAAAAUAAGUCACCUGAGUUUGGUCAACCAUUUUUCUGACCUGACAGCGUUUGGGAAACCAGAGCUUGCAGUAAUGUUUUGGUCUAUACAAUGUCACUGACCAUGUGCCAGGGAUGUGGAUAGAGAACAAAGCAUGUGCAGAUUGUCUGCUUCUGUCCACAGAGAGCAGUGCUGUGAGAAAAAGCAACUGGAUGAAGAUUUAAGUCCUAAUUUUACUGCAGCAAAACACUGGCAUCUUUUUUGAAAGCUUAAAGUCUAAUCAAGAAACGUGUUGAUGUGUACAAAAUUAAAUUUCAGGAACUCCUCUGCUGAUUUUUUUCAGGGUGACACAUCUCAGGUAUCCACAUACUUCAGCAAAGAGUUUUGCGAGGAAGAAUGUAUAAGAAACAAAUUGCUUCGGGAUCCUGCUGCCCAAUUACUCAGAAAAAGAGAGGCAUCCCUUCAGAGUUGUCUCCUUGCUCAGCGUUCUCCAAGCAGCAGUGGCCUACAAGACCAGAGCCUGAGAAACAGCCCCACAGAUGGAGCUGCAGGGAUCCUUCAUUUAUCAACUACAUGAUUAAUUUGAUGUGGACCGAUACUUGCUCUUGGCUUUGCUCUCUUUGCUCUUUGUUGUUUUUUUUUUGUUGUGGUUUUGUUUUUGGGUUUUGCUGUGUUUGGUUUGGUUGUUUUUUUUAUUUAUCUUGUGUUUAUAAUAUCUGCAGUAGAUUCUUUUAUGUAUAAAAACAUAAAAUCGUGUAUUGUACACAGGUAGUAAAAGCACUGAUUUGCUACUGCAGUGUGUUUCUCAAACUAGCUGAGUUCAUUUAGGCAAUGUACUUUAUCAAAGCUGUAUUUUGCCCACAGCAAAACAAACUGUCAGCUGUUACAGAGGAAUAAUUAUUUUUCAUAUUAAAAUGUGGCUAUAUGACAGUUCAUUGCAUUCAUUAAACAACUACCUAUUCUUCAGUCUGGAAUCAGAACUGCUUUCAGAGAAUAUCCAGCUUGCUACUGAAAUGAUUUAAAUAGGUCGAGUGUAACACUGUAAAUAUGACCAAGGCAAAAAGCCAGUCAAUAAAACUGUCAGUUUUACCCUAAUAAAGGAGGAAGGCCUUUGCUAUUUCUCUGUAGCAGACAGUUUAUUGUCCAGCUGUAUGCAACAGCUUCAGGACAUCUGGCCACUUAAUCACUGAGUAUCAAGUCCAGAAUGCCAAAGGAGCCACAAGCAAAAUAAUAAUCAGUGGUCUAAUUUUCUUUAGUACUGAAGACCCUGCACAUAGCUCUGACAUCAACAGAUGGUUUUGGUGUGAAAUACACGAGAUUUCAACAUUCCUGGUGGCUGUCAGAAAAUGACAAAGAGUUUUGAUGGAACAACAAUCUGAAGAAGCACGUAUUGCCUAGGCGAGAUUAUAUUGCUUAUAUGGUGGGGCAUAAGUCUGGGAAAGACAGGAAGGCAUUUAUCUCUGCCAGGAGAUGGUCAGCCUUGUCCCAGUGCCUGCCUUAAGCCACAGUUGGAAGCAACAAGACCAUCAGUGGUCCCAGUUGGAAGCAUACACAACAGUCUCAGCCAAGGCAGGGUGGCUGUUAACUGUUUCUGCUUUGAAAAUAAGGUACCUGGUUUACCUGUAACCUAAUUCAGAGACAAAAAGGAUGGGCUCAAGACUAUGCCAAAACAGUGUGGUCAAUGUUCAGUACUGCUGGUGUGUAAGGAGAGGGUGUUCUUUGCUCUAGUUACCCUAGAAGCAGCUCCUGCCCAGACUAAAACAUCCGAGUUACACAACUAAGUGAACCAGCUCCUUCCCCCUGCAAAGCCUUCUGUAAGGCCUCAGGUAGUCCUGUGCACAUAGAAAUCCCCUUGCUUUAGCAAACACAUCAAUCUCUCACUUUCAUUGCUACAGAUUAGGGCUUAAAAAUAGACUUGACAUCAGGAUUUUCUGGUUUAUACAACAAAGUUAAAGUUCAAUAUAUUGAUAUGAGCUGUAAGGCUUAUUUCCUUCAGGGUGCAAUCAAAACAUGUGGAUUUCUACAGCUACAAGUGCACAGCUUUGGUAUGACUGCAGGUACAAAAGCUGCUGUGGGAGCCCACAGGCAGCUGAAGUUGGACAAGACUGAGACCAUACUGGUGGGCAGUGUUGGCCUAUCUGUGUUUCCACUUUGGGAAGGGAUGCCACAUCCUGUGCUUUAAACCAGGAGAGUUCUGGAAAGCAAUUUUGCAUCAUGAUAAUGCCUGCCCUCAUCACCAUUUUCUCAGGACACAUUGCUCCUCCCUGUCUGAUGAGUCUAUCAGGAUCUGUGUUAUCUCACAAAAAGGACAGCCAUGGAUCUGGAAAGCCAUGAGGCUUAAGUGAUCUACUUCCCACAACUGUGCACUCAGAGGGUCAGUUACAAGGAGGUUGGGCUAACACAGACACUGAAUCUGCUGCAGAACUGACAGGAGGCAGUUAUCAGCUCAUCUGUUUAGUUGUAGUAAAUUAUCACUAAAUCCCCAGACACCCUCGGACUAUAGAGCUUUCCAAGGUACCAAAAGGGAAGCAUUAAUACAUUACAUGGAGGAGGAAAACAAGAGAAGGACACAGAGUGUUAGGGGUAAAAAUAGGAAAAAAUCCCCAAUAUCCCUUCUUUUCAGGUGAGUCCCUCCUCUACUGAAAUACAGAGCUGUCCUCUGUCACCUACCAU